rnacentral:lncRNA from 1 species
AGAAAAACCAUUCUGCUUCUCUCUAUUUCAAUUCUCUCCAAUUUCUCUUUCAAUUUAUAACACGUUAUCAGCACGAAUUUGCUUUAACAAUACAAGCUGAAUUCUCUGAUGAAACCCAGAUAUCUUAUCUCUCUCCAGCCUCAGCUCCCAUGCUUCUUCCUCUGUUUCUUUCACAAAGAAAAACAUAACAGAGAGAGAGAGAGAGUCAACAGAGAUGGAGAAAACACUAGUCACAGUACCUCUCAACAACACACUUGACUUGGGUUUUGGCAGAAUCGGAGAAGAUCAGAUCAUCAAGUCCUCUGCAUAAAGAAACAGAGCACUCCAUCCUUGCCAUGGGUCGGGUUUUCAGGUAGAGCUUGGAUAGUCCAAUGGCCUGCCCAGGUGGAGCCGUGCAAACGGGACCUGCUGUGCCUGCAAGGAAACCCGAUAUCAUAGACUGCCAUGGCAGCAGGACCUUCCCAUCUCCUUCAUUUUUUUUUUUUCACAGAGAGCAUGUGAUAGUCUCUCUGCCAAAGUCCACCAAACCACUAAACCAGAUAGCUCUUUCUUCCUGCGCUCUUCUUGAACCAAGGCCAUGAACAUCACCACCAUCAUGAUCAUGAACAUGAUCAUAGCCAUGGGAGUUCAGGAACAAAUUCAUGGGUAGCCCCAGAUGGGAAGGUGUACCAUAGCCAUGAUGGGCUGGCGCCACACUCGCAUGAACCCAUAUACUCCCCUGGCUACUUCAGCAGAAGAGCUCAACCUCUUCUCACCAGGAAUUUCAGUGAAAUGGCUUUUACUAUUGGCAUCGGUGGACCAGUCGGUACUGGCUUGUCUUGUGCAGCAGAGCUACUACGACGAUUCCAGCACGCACCCAAAGCCGAUGGAUCUCUUAGCUUUUUGGUUCUUGGAGAUUGGGGAAGAAGAGGAGCCUUCAAUCAAUCUCAAGUUGCUCUUCAGGUUCAUGUUCAUUAAUCAUGGAGCAGACAAACGCUUUCACGAGCACUAUGGUUUGUCUCAACUUUUCUAAUUACAUAUAUUAAUGUCAUGAUAAGGUUUGUUUUUUUUAACGAAGGAAACUUAAUUAUACAUCUUGGGACCUAGGCCUGGGUGUCAUUUUAAUCAUUGUUAAUUAACUACUGUCUUUAAUUGACUACGCUAAUCAUGAGAUUAUUCCCCACUAAACCAACCUACGUAAAUAAUGUCAUGAUAAGGUUUGCUUUUUUUUUUUUGACUUAAUGAGGUUGAUGUCCGUAGUGGAUUUUAUUAAUUAAUUGUGGGUGCUUUGUGUGUCUAAUUUUCCACACGAGGACCACACGAGGACCCUCUUCUGCAUCCUUAUCUUUCAAUUACAUUAGUAUUAUCCUACACUAUUUAACUUGCUCUGUAGGUGGAAAGUUUUUGAUUU